AAACACUCUAACACUUGUGUGAUGAUAGAUGAUUGUCAAAACUAAUGGUCUGCAGUGAUUUAUUGACCUUCUUGAAAACUGUCAAAAUCAAGAAUGACACCCCAUGCACGUGUAUUGGGCUACUGCGUUGUGCACGUGCAUCCCAUGCGUUGUGUUUAGGGGUG